GCCCUUUGGUGUAAGCACUGCACUCAAAUGCAGAAACAAGGGUCAUGGCUUGGUUUUUAUAACAGUGCUAGCAGAGUACACACAAGAGAAAAAGGCACUGCACUAGGCUGUAAGGACUCGAGUGGACCUCUUUCUUAACGUCCAGUGUCCUCUGUCUUAAGGCUUGGCGGAAUACAU